CUGGGGUGAAGUCGUAACAAGGUAACCGUAGGGGAACCUGCGGUUGGAUCACCUCCUUACCUUAAAGAA
rnacentral:rRNA from 3 species